rnacentral:rRNA from 1 species
UACGUAGGUGGCAAGCGUUGUCCGGAUUUAUUGGGUUUAAAGGGUGCGUAGGCGGCCCUGUAAGUCAGUGCUGAAAUAUCCCGGCUUAACCGGGAGGGUGGCAUUGAUACUGCAGGGCUUGAGUAAAGUUGAGGUUGGCGGAAUUGACGGUGUAGCGGUGAAAUGCUUAGAUAUCGUCAAGAACACCUAUAGCGAAGGCAGCUUACUAGGCUGUAACUGACGCUGAGGCACGAAAGUGUGGGGAUCAAACAGG